GAUCCCUCCACCCCACCUACAGGUAUUUUCAGCCUGGAGGAAGGAUAAUAAUUAUGUGUAGAGGUGCUUUCUUUUAAAGCUGCUGGAACAGACCAGUUUUAAAGAUAAAGCAAAUCUGUAUUUUAGAGUCUGAUCAUCAGUUGAAAUCACUAUACUGCUAUGUAGUAGGUCCUGCAGCCUGAGGACUGUCUCUGGGAUUUUGUUGAGAAAACAAUCUUGCAAAAAGUAAAGAUAAUUGUGAGUCCUGAUGUAAUGUUGUGGAGGAGAGAUGAAAAAAAAAGUGCAGCAAAUGCUGGAGAAGCAAGGACUACAGAACUGUCAAUCAAGAUGGACAUUCUAUUUGGAAUGAAGACUGGGGAGGACAGUUGAAGAAGAAGAGGCAAACUGAAAAAACUUGGUCUCUUGCCCUUGGGACAGAAAGGAGGAAGGACAGAAAUGUCUUGCUCUCUGGUUUCUCCCUACAAUACUUCAGUGACUAAAUCUUCAAACCUUUUGGCCAUUUUCCCAAAUCUGAAUUCUAUUCCACCAUCCUCCAAUUUAGGAAUUUGGGGAAACCCCAAACCCUCUCUCCCCUCAACUUCUUUACCUUUCCCCUUCUUCUAAAUAAACCCCCUUACUUAAAUUUAGAAAAGAGAGUGCUUUGUUUGAUAUACCAAGAUACUCACUUUGAGCUGACUUCAGUGCUACCAACAGAAAAAUC